AUAGAUCUCAUCCUCGCUGUACAUGGAGCUCGUGGUCUUGCUGGGACUACUGAAGUAUUUUGCCAUCUGACUGGAAUGAGAGUUUGUCUCUUCUUCAAAGUGUCUCCACUGGGUCAACUUGAGAGAUAAAGGAAAUAUAGUUUACCUUAAGCACCGAGAGGAGAAUGACCCACAGAUCCGAGUAAAGAGAGGAACACGAGUAUAGCUGGGACAAAGUGUAGGAUGCACUCAACUCUAUUACCUGACAUGAUGAUAAAACAACACAAAAUACUUAUUUACAAUUUUGAAGAUUCAACACUGAGUGUUGCUCUCUCCUCCAUGGCAAAUAAGAAACCACUGCUGUAUGUAAGUACACUGCCGCACAGAGUCAACACAUUCAGAUUGGGACUGGACAUCUUCACUAUCCUGUGUCAGAGCGUAAUGUGAAAAUGAGGAAGAAGAGGGCCAGUAGAAUCCCACAGGAAAGCAGAGUCCAGACGACAGCACGGAGAGCAGGAGACAGCGAUCGACUCUUUACAUCCACACCUGUCUAUAGGAAUAACAACAGCAGUCCAUAUUAAACAUUUUAAUAAGGGGACAGAAAGUACAGUUUCUACAGUAUAAAAGUCAUUACGUCUAUGGAUUUAGAUGUAUAAAAACAAGCGUGUCUGUGUGUGUGUGUGUGUUUACCGUCAUGAGAGCACAGAGUUUCUGUAGUAUUUCCCAGCCCUGCUGGUUGUUCAGUCCUGAGUAGAUGAAGCAGGUACUAGACUCACAAUGAGAGCUGCAGUUUAGUCCUGCGUCCAUUACUGGCCUGAGCUCUAUCUCACCUUACACACAUACCAUACUGAAAAACAGAAAUAUAUAUUUACCAUCAAACCUAUCAAAACUUUAAAACUUCUUACGCUCUGGGACUAUUUUGGGGACUUCCGCCUGGAUUUGGCCUUCCCAAAUUCAAAAGCUUCCCAUAUCCACAUGCAGAGUUGCACAUACAAAAGUUUGGUAUCAUUUUACAAGUAACCCUUUGAAAUUACAUAAAACACUGUUAAAAGUGCUAACCAUGGUUGUAUGUGUUGUCAGUCCUCUAAUAAACACAAAAAUAAAAAUGCGCUUUUUGAUUUUUUAUCUAAAGUCUGUAUUUGAAAGUGUAUAGGUGUGUUCGACUUCAUGCGGCACUGCGCAGACCGAUCGGUGGCUGACUUGAAGCAGUGCAUUCCGGUUAGUAAUUUUGUCUGACUUUAGCUGGCGCUGCAGGCACGUGACAGUGUCAUAUGGUUUUUAAGUACCGCGAGAGCGUUUCGAGAGUAGCCGGCUAGCUCAGCCAGUGCAGCCUCUCCAGAGCGGCUGCACGGAGUUGUGAUGACGACACAGCUUUUCGUGAUUGGUCGCCUCACUGAUGACAACGAUCACGUGCGUUUCAAGUUUAAUCCACCUUUAGUUCCACUAAUAAACAUUAUAAAUUCAUGUUUUAAAACAGGAAAAAACACGUUAAUAUGCACAAAUAUGUUAUAUUGUAUAAUAAAAUAAAAAUGAAAAUAACAAACUCUAUUGGUAUUUUAAUAAUAUAGGCUUGUUUCCCGUUAUUUUCGGGUAUACAGUAUAAGCAGCAAUUAAAAUAUUCGAUAUAAAAUGUUUCUGGUUGCAACUUUUUAUUAAAA